UUGGUAUUAAUUACUAAUUUGCAUGAUUAAUUAACUAAACCAUAGAGAAUCCUAGCAGACAGGUGAUAAACACUUUCUGUUCCUCCUGCCCCAAAUGCACAAAUCCUAAGGAAACCUCAGACAAACCCAAACUGACUUCCUCCAAGUAGCGGGCCCGUACUCUACAAAAAUGCCAAGGUCAUGAAAGAGAAGGAAAGAUGGAGAAAGUGUGCCAGAUCAAAGGAGACUAAGCAGAUACUUGAGGUGAGGCCUCCGAUGUUGCACCUCCCAGGGGAGCAGCUUUGACUCUGCCCACAGUUACUCCUGUGCUGUCAGAUGUUUGGGCAGGGGUCUCUGUGGAACAACACCCAUUUGUUAAGCUCCACAAAUUCAAGUCUCAUUACUCUAUUGUUUUCAACAUUGCCUCAAGGAAUAAAUUCUUCACGUGGAAUCUAAUCCAA